UGCCACUCCAUUUGUUCCCAAGC
rnacentral:piRNA from 1 species